rnacentral:rRNA from 1 species
UACGUAGGUGGCAAGCGUUGUCCGGAUUUACUGGGCGUAAAGGGCUCGUAGGCGGCCAACUAAGUCGGACGUGAAAUCCCCAGGCUCAACCUGGGAACUGCAUCCGAUACUGGAUGGCUUGAAUUCGGGAGAGGGAUGCAGAAUUCCAGGUGUAGCGGUGAAAUGCGUAGAUAUCUGGAGGAAUACCGGUGGCGAAGGCGGCAUCCUGGACCGACAUUGACGCUGAGGAGCGAAAGCCAGGGGAGCAAAGCGGG